rnacentral:rRNA from 1 species
UACGUAGGGUGCGAGCGUUAAUCGGAAUCACUGGGCGUAAAGCGCACGUAGGCGGACUCUUAAGUCGGUGGUGAAAUCCUGGAGCUCAACUCCAGAACUGCCUUCGAUACUGAGAGUCUUGAGUCCGGGAGAGGUGAGUGGAACUGCGAGUGUAGAGGUGAAAUUCGUAGAUAUUCGCAAGAACACCAGUGGCGAAGGCGGCUCACUGACCCGGUACUGACGCUGAGGUGCGAAAGCGUGGGGGAGCAAACAGG